CCUACGGGGGGCUGCAGUGGGGAAUAUUGGACAAUGGGGGCAACCCUGAUCCAGCCAUGCCGCGUGUGUGAAGAAGGCCUUCGGGUUGUAAAGCACUUUAAGCGGGGAGGAAGGCCUUGAGACUAAUACUCUUGAGGAUUGACGUUACCCGCAGAAUAAGCACCGGCUAACUCUGUGCCAGCAGCCGCGGUAAUACAGAGGGUGCAAGCGUUACUCGGAAUUACUGGAGGUGGUGUGCGCGGACGCGGUUGAAAUCCCCGGGCUCAACCUGGGCACGGCAUCCGAUACUGGCUGACUAGAGUGUGGGAGAGGAAGGUAGAAUUCCAGGUGUAGCGGUGAAAUGCGUAGAGAUCUGGAGGAAUACCGAUGGCGAAGGCAGCCUUCUGGCCUAACACUGACGCUGAGGUGCGAAAGCAUGGGGAGCAAACAGGAUUAGAUACCCUAGUAGUC
rnacentral:rRNA from 1 species